GACAGAGGGUGCAAACGUUGUUCGGAAUUACUGGGCGUAAAGCGAGUGUAGGCGGUUCGAUAAGUCGGAUGUGAAAGCCCCGGGCUCAACCCGGGAAGUGCACUCGAUACUGUCGAGCUAGAGUAUCGGAGAGGUUGGUGGAAUUCUCGGUGUAGAGGUGAAAUUCGUAGAUAUCGAGAGGAACACCGGUGGCGAAGGCGGCCAACUGGACGAAUACUGACGCUGAGACUCGAAAGCGUGGGGGAGCAAAACAGG
rnacentral:rRNA from 1 species